CUCGAAUUCCUGACCUCAGGUGAUCCACCCACCUCAGCCUCCCAAAGUGCUGGGAUUACAGGUGUGAGCCACCGUGCCGGCCCCCUCAAUUCAACUUUUUGAUCCAUGCCCCUAUUUUGCUAAGUUGUCAACUUCCCUUUAGUCUUAUGUGGGUUUUCCUCCAUUACAGUCAUGGAAGUUUCUAGAAGGCCGGGUAGGGUCUUUGAGAGGCCGAGGCAGG
rnacentral:lncRNA from 1 species